rnacentral:rRNA from 1 species
GACGAACGCUGGCGGCGUGCCUAAUACAUGCAAGUCGAGCGCAGGAAAUCGACGGAACCCUUCGGGGGGAAGUCGACGGAAUGAGCGGCGGACGGGUGAGUAACACGUAAAGAACCUGCCCUCAGGUCUGGGAUAACCACGAGAAAUCGGGGCUAAUACCGGAUGGGUCAUCGGACCGCAUGGUCCGAGGAUGAAAGGCGCUUCGGCGUCGCCUGGGGAUGGCUUUGCGGUGCAUUAGCUAGUUGGUGGGGUAAUGGCCCACCAAGGCGACGAUGCAUAGCCGACCUGAGAGGGUGAUCGGCCACGCGGGGACUGAGACACGGCCCAGACUCCUACGGGAGGCAGCAGUAGGGAAUCUUCCACAAUGGACGAAAGUCUGAUGGAGCAACGCCGCGUGAACGAUGAAGGCCUUCGGGUCGUAAAGUUCUGUUGUAAGGGAAGAACAAGUGCCGCAGGCAAUGGCGGCACCUUGACGGUACCUUGCGAGAAAGCCACGGCUAACUACGUGCCAGCCGCCGCCGUAA